AUUGAACGCUGGCGGCAGGCCUAACACAUGCAAGUCGAACGAGUGGCGGACGGGUGAGUGAUGUCUGGGCAACUGCCUGAUGGAGGGGAAUAACUACUGGAAACGGUAGCUAAUACCGCAUACCAUCGGAUGUGCCCAGAUGGGAUUAGCUAGUAGGUGGGGUAAAGGCUGACCUAGGCGACGCUCCCUAGCUGGUCUGAGAGGAUGACGAGUCACCUUGGAAUGGAGACACGGUCCAGAUUCCUACGGGAGGCAGCAUUGGGGAAUAUUGGACAAGGGGCGAAAGCCGGCUCCAGCCAUGCCGGGGGUGGGAAGAAGGUCUUCGGAUGGUAAAGCACUUUAAGUUGGGAGGCGGUACCAACAGAAAAAGCACCGGCUAACUUCGUGCCAGCAGCCGCGGUAAUAC
rnacentral:rRNA from 1 species